UACGGAGGAUCCAAGCGUUAUCCGGAUUAUUGGGUUUAAAGGGAGCGUAGGCGGCCUAUUAAGUCAGGGGUGAAAGACGGUGGCUCAACCAUCGCAGUGCCCUUGAUACUGAUGGGCUUGAAUGUAGUUGAGGUGGGCGGAAUGUGACAAGUAGCGGUGAAAUGCAUAGAUAUGUCACAGAACACCGAUUGCGAAGGCAGCUCACUAUGCGAUGAUUG
rnacentral:rRNA from 1 species